GACGAACGCUGGCGGCGUGCUUAACACAUGCAAGUCGAACGGAAAGGCCCUGCUUGCAGGGUACUCGAGUGGCGAACGGGUGAGUAACACGUGGGUGAUCUGCCCUGCACUUCGGGAUAAGCCUGGGUAACUGGGUCUAAUACCGGAUAGGAGCCAUUUUUAGUGUGAUGGUUGGAAAGUUUUUUCGGUGUAGGAUGAGCUCGCGGCCUAUCCGCUUGUUGGUGGGGUAAUGGCCUACCAAGGCGGCGACGGGUAGCCGGCCUGGGAGGGUGGACGGCCACAUUGGGACUGAGAUACGGCCCAGACUCCGACGGGAGGCAGCAGUGGGGAAUAUUGAAAAAUGGGAGCAAGCCUGAUGCAGCGCCGCCGCGUGGGGGAUGACGGCCUUCGGGUUGUAAACUCCUUUCGCUAGGGACGAAGCUGUUUGUGACGGUACCUAGAGAAGAAGCACCGGCUAACUACGUG
rnacentral:rRNA from 1 species